CAAAAAGUUCGGUGCCUCAUGCUGGAAUCGAACCAGCGACCUUCUGUUUACUAGACAGACGCUCUGCCACUGAGCCAAUGAGGCGCAUAAGAGAAACACUUUUCUCUCCGUAGAAAUGCAUGCCGCUAGCCAACUAACCGAACGACCGC
ensembl:ncRNA ZK563.8 ncRNA